UACGAAGGGGGCUAGCGUUGUUCGGAAUCACUGGGCGUAAAGAGUACGUAGGCGGAUUGUUAAGUCAGGGGUGAAAUCCCGAGGCUCAACCUCGGAACUGCCUUUGAUACUGGCAAUCUUGAGUCCGGGAGAGGUGAGUGGAACUCCUAGUGUAGAGGUGAAAUUCGUAGAUAUUAGGAAGAAUACCAGUGGCGAAGGCGGCUCACUGGCCCGGAACUGACGCUGAGGUACGAAAGCGUGGGGAGCAAACAGG
rnacentral:rRNA from 1 species